GGAGAGGUGUCCGAGUCGGCCGAAGGAGCUCGCCUGCUAAGCGAGUAUACGCCUUUAAAGUGUAUCCAGGGUUCGAAUCCCUGCCUCUCCGCCA
rnacentral:tRNA from 1 species